rnacentral:rRNA from 1 species
CAGCCGCCGCGGUAAUACGUAGGGUGCGAGCGUUAAUCGGAUUUACUGGGCGUAAAGCGUGCGCAGGCGGUCCGUUAAGACAGGUGUGAAAUCCCUGGGCUCAACCUAGGAAUUGCGCUUGUGACUGGCGGGCUCGAGUACGGUAGAGGGGGGUGGAAUUCCUGGUGUAGCAGUGAAAUGCGUAGAGCUCAGGAGGAACACCGAUGGCGAAGGCAGCCCCCUGGGCCUGUACUGACGCUCAUGCACGAAAGCGUGGGGAGCAAACAGGAUUAGAUACCCUGGUAGUCCACGCCCUAAACGAUGGGUACUAGCCGUUUGGUGCGCGAUAGCGCUGAGUGGCGAAGCUAACGCGUGAAGUACCCCGCCUGGGGAGUACGGCCGCAAGGUUGAAACUUAAAGGAAUUGGCGGG